rnacentral:tRNA from 1 species
GAAAAGCAAAGAACUGAAAACCCCC